CACACUGUCUCACUCUCCCUCUCCCUCUGUCAUUUUCUCUGUCUCUCUCUCUCUCUCCCGAGUUCCCUUUCUUCUUCUUCCUUCUGUAAACGUACGGACAAGCACACAACUCCCUCAAACCGUAGCAGAUCGAGGAAACCAAGGGUGCAGUCGUGAUCGUGAGGUCGAGGGGAACACAGACGUACCAUUUUCAGCACAUAGAUGUCUUAGUGAGGUUCCCAGGAAUCUCGGAGUGUUUCGUUGGACGAAUUUGGACGUCGGGAUCGUUGGGUUCGAGUUUGGCCGGUUUUGGAGUUUGUGGACAGGUGAUUCCUAUCCCGAGGACGAGCGUGCACACUCGAGGCAGGGGGGGCUACGACCCUUCCA